rnacentral:rRNA from 1 species
CAUCGGGUGCUAACGUCCGGUGUCAAGAGGGAAACAACCCAGACCGCCAGCUAAGGUCCCAAAGAUUGGCUAAGUGGAAAACGAAGUGGGAAGGCUAAAACAGUCAGGAUGUUGGCUUAGAAGCAGCCACCCUUUAAAGAAAGCGUAAUAGCUCACUGAUCGAGUCGUCCUGCGCGGAAGAUGUAACGGGGCUAAGCCAGUCACCGAAGCUGCGGAUAUCCGUAAGGAUAUGGUAGGAGAGCGUUCUGUAAGCCUGCGAAGGUGUCUUGUAAAGGAUGCUGGAGGUAUCAGAAGUGCGAAUGCUGACAUGAGUAGCGAUAAUGCGGGUGAAAAGCCCGCUCGCCGGAAGACCAAGGGUUCCUGUCCAACGUUAAUCGGGGCAGGGUGAGACGACCCCUAAGGCGAGGCCGAAA